CGCGCUGAGUGAUGAAGGUUUUCGGAUCGUAAAACUCUGUCGUUAGGGAGGAACAAGUACCAGAGUAACUGCUGGUACCUUGACGGUACCUAACCAGAAAGCCACGGCUAACUACGUGCCAGCAGCCGCGGUAAUACGUAGGUGGCAAGCGUUGUCCGGAAUUAUUGGGCGUAAAGCGCGCGCAGGCGGUCCUUUAAGUCUGAUGUGAAAGCCCACGGCUCAACCGUGGAGGGUCAUUGGAAACUGGGGGACUUGAGUACAGAAGAGAAGAGUGGAAUUCCACGUGUAGCGGUGAAAUGCGUAGAGAUGUGGAGGAACACCAGUGGCGAAGGCGACUCUUUGGUCUGUAACUGACGCUGAGGCGCGAAAGCGUGGGGAGCAAACAGGAUUAGAUACCCUGGUAGUCCACGCUGUAAACGAUGAGUGCUAAGUGUUAGAGGGUUUCCGCCCUUUAGUGCUGCAGCUAACGCAUUAAGCAC
rnacentral:rRNA from 1 species